UAUAGUUUCAAUCAUUUCAAGAGUUUGCUAUUGUAAAGUUCUCUUCAGCAUGAGUCCUUAUGUACACAUGUGUUAAAGUUUUAAAUCUAGUUUAAUCACACACUGCACACAGUGAACACUCUCCAAAUGAAAAGCUCACCUUCCUAUUUCUUUAUCAGAAAGUCUUUUGAGUGGGGUUCAUCAGAUAACCUGUUGGUCUGGCAGCAGUACGCAUUCCCUCUCAUCCUAUGAUUUCAGCAGAUGAAGCCCCACUAACAGGCUGGCCAGAAAAUAUUAGUUCUGGUGGCCAUUUUAUUACAGUAAGAUUACUUGGGUUUUGAUGAGAGCAGAUGAGACAGAAGAAACUGCCUGCCAGCCUGAGAACCGGGCCUGUGAGCCAGAAGCAUCCCUGAGAAACACCACUGCCUCUUUGAAGUGCAGCUGAGCACCUCAGAACCAGAGGCAUCCUGCAGAUACCAUCGAUAAGGGCAAACCGAGGAAUGGGAACAGCAGCUUAUCAUCUGGCAAAGUGAAAAUAGUCUGGAAGAAAGGAGAAAACAUCCUGAGAAAACAAGAACCAGUACUGCUAUUGGCUGCUUUAGCUGAAAGAAAGAAAAACAGUCUGGGAUAAGCAAAGUUCUGUCUGACAGAAUUGGAAACAUCAUGGCCUAUUGGUUGUCUCAGGUGAAAACAAGAAUGGAGCAGCAUCCAUUGGGUGCUCUGAGAGGUGGUGUCCCACGCCCUCCUCAGUCCCCAUGCUAUAACAGGGACCAGUUCUCCAUCCCGAUGGAGCCUGUCUCGGAGAACACCCUGUGCUGCAUGGACUGUUCCUUUCCCUCCAGGAUUCCCGACCCAAAUUGAACCUUUGCUGGGGAUACCUGGCUGCUUCCAGCACCGUGACGCGGCUCAUCUUCCCAGUGAGACUUUGUUCGUUAUUUAUUUGGUCCCCCUGCAGGGCCUGCUCUUUACUGGCCCAUUUCUGAGGUGGCUUUGUCCUCUUCUGGGAUUGGUUUGAUAGAGCUUGGUACCGGUAACACUUUGAAAUAUAUACAUGCAUUUAUAAGUAAUCAAUCAUAAGUAUUUUUUCUACUUUCCAAGUGAUAAGUUUGUUGUAACUUGUAAUAUUAAUAUAGAGAGAGAGUUAUAUAAGAUAUAGACAUAAAAUUGCUUGUUGUGGUGUAACCCUAUUAGGCAGCGGAGCACCCUAUGUAGAAAGGUAGAAGUAAGAAAACUCUUGUGUUGGGAUAAAGACAGUUUAAAGUGUAAAAUAAAAGCUGGACCCACAAGCAAAUCAAAACAAGGAAGACAUUGACUACUUCCCAUCUGCAAGGAAAUGUUCAACCAUUUCCAGGAAAGUGGGAUCUAACACAUGUGGUGAUUACUUGGGAAGAUGAACACCGUAACUCUGAGUGGUUCUCCCUCUCCUCCUUCUUUCCCCCCAGCUUUUAUUGGUCAUCACAGCAUUGUAUGGUAUGGGAUCUACCUUUGGUUAUUUGGGGUUGGCUGUCCUGGUUCUGUCCCCUCCCUUCUCCUUGCUCAACCCCAGCUCCUCAGGGGCAGGGCAGCUCAAGAACCAGAAAAGUCCUUGAGGAUGUAAGCACUGCUCAGCAACAACUAUCAACAAUAUUUUCAUCAAAUCCCGAACUUAGCACCAUACCAGCCUUUAUGAAGAAAAUUAAGCCAACCAGGAACCUGCAAAUUGCUGCUGUAUUAUUGACUGCUGCUGAUGAUUUCUGAUAGUGAUACUAUUGAUUUUUGUUACUCUUGAUUACGUAGGUGUUCUUGCUGUCCUGGUAACUGUUACUAAUAGCUCGAUAUGCACGUGCUUUAUCAAUCAUAGGUAUACUUGAGAGUGGUGAUUUGUAGUAACCUUUAAUAAAGUAGAAAAACUUAGGAAAUAAAG